rnacentral:sRNA from 1 species
GAAACUAUAUGGUUAUUGUUGUGUCGGGAAAAUGCAAUUUUAUGGUUUUUAACCAAAAAAGAAGAAGGAGAUUUGCAAAACUACCUUUUUUUUACUACUCUUUUGUAACAUACUCUUUCGUGUUGUCCAUUUUUAAAAAUACUCAUUUCCUUGAACAGAAUUACCAAAUUAUCCUCAUCUAAUAGGAACAUGUAAUUGGAAACUAAAAUUUUCCUACCAAAUUUUUUUUUCCCGCCAAAAUUUUUCACAGCUAUAAAAAUCCUUGUAAAUUUUUUUUGGCGAGAAAUAGAUUUACAAGUGAUUUUAAAAGGGUUUUACAAGAUUUACAAGAGAUUUUUAAAGGUUUUAAAAAACUU